UACGGAGAGUGCAAACGUUGUUCGGAUUCACUGGGCGUAAAGGGCACGUAGGCGGUGUGUCGCGUCGGCCGUGAAAACCUGCAGCUUAACUGUGGGCUUGCGGUCGAUACGGGCAUCACUGGAGUUCGGCAGGGGAGACUGGAAUUCCUGGUGUAGCGGUGAAAUGCGCAGAUAUCAGGAGGAACACCGGUGGCGAAGGCGGGUCUCUGGGCCGAUACUGACGCUGAGGAGCGAAAGCGUGGGGAGCGAACAGG
rnacentral:rRNA from 1 species